rnacentral:rRNA from 1 species
GACGAACGCUGGCGGCGUGCUUAACACAUGCAAGUCGAACGAAGUGGCGAACGGGUGAGUAACGCGUAAUCAACCUGCCCUUCAGAGGGGGACAACAGUUGGAAACGACUGCUAAUACCGCAUACGGAAGGAGGGGAUUGCGUCUGAUUAGCUCGUGGGCGGGGUAACGGCCCACCAAGGCGAUGAUCAGUAGCCGGGCUGAGCUGGAGAACGGCCAAAUGGGGACUGAGACACGGCCCAGGCUCCUAAGGGAAGCAGCAGUGGGGAAUCUUCCGCAAUGGACGAAAGUCUGACGGAGCAACGCCGCGUGAGUGGUGACGGCCUUCGGGUUGUAAAGCUCUGUUAAUCGGGACGCGGUACCGGAAUAGAAAGCCACGGCUAACUACGUGCCAGCAGCCGCGGUAAUAC